rnacentral:rRNA from 1 species
AUUGAACGCUGGCGGCAGGCUUAACACAUGCAAGUCGAGCGGGGGAAGGUAGCUUGCUACUGGACCUAGCGGCGGACGGGUGAGUAAUGCUUAGGAAUCUGCCUAUUAGUGGGGGACAACAUCUCGAAAGGGAUGCUAAUACCGCAUACGUCCUACGGGAGAAAGCAGGGGAUCUUCGGACCUUGCGCUAAUAGAUGAGCCUAAGUCGGAUUAGCUAGUUGGUGGGGUAAAGGCCUACCAAGGCGACGAGCUGUAGCGGGUCUGAGAGGAUGAUCCGCCAGACGGGGACUGCGACACGGCCCAGACUCCUACGGGAGGCAGCAGUGGGGAAUAUUGGACAAUGGGGGGAACCCUGAUCCAGCCAUGCCGCGUGUGUGAAGAAGGCCUUAUGGUUGUAAAGCACUUUAAGCGAGGAGGAGGCUACUCUAGUUAAUACCUAGGGAUAGUGGACGUUACUCGCAGAAUAAGCACCGGCUAACUCUGUGCCAGCCGCCGCCGUAA